GGCCUUGGGGUGUGACACGUCAGAUUGCAAAUCUGAAAAAGUAGACUACCGUCUGCCGGGGCUU
rnacentral:tRNA from 1 species